rnacentral:rRNA from 1 species
CGAUCCCCGGUGACCGUACCGAGAACCGACACAGGUGCGCUGGCUGAGAAGGCCAAGGCCUGUCGGUCCUAACGCGGGAGAGGGAACUCGGCAAAUUGGCCCCGUAACUUCGGGAGAGGGGGUGCCUGCGUUCCUGGGCGAGAGCCUGGGUCCGCAGGUCGCAGUGACAAGGGGUGCCCGACUGUUUAACAAAAACAUAGUUCCCCGCGAGCCCGCAAGGGUGUGUACGGGGGAUGAGGCCUGGCCAAUGCCGGUACCUGAAGCCCGGGUACAACCGGGUGAAGGGCCGGUGAAAGCCGGGAGUAACUCUGACUCUCUUAAGGUAGCCAUAUGCCUUGCCGAAUAAAAAUCGGCGUGCAUGAAUGGCUUAACGAGGUGCCCGCUGUCCCCUCCCGCGGGCCGGUGAACCCGCAUCCCGGUGCACAGACCGGGACGCCCCAGCGGGGAGAGAAGACCCUGUGGAGCUUCACUGCAGCCUGGCCUUGCGGUACAGCCGGGGAUGCAGAGGGUAGGCGGGAGCGAUGUGGCGGUCCUCCUGGGGGCCGCCGAAGCGCCGAUGGAACACCGCCCUUCCUCGGCUGUGCCGCUGACCGCUCCGGCGGGACAGGGCUAGGUGGGCAGUUUGGCUGGGGUGGCACGCCCCUGCAAAGGUAUCAGGGGCGCCCAAAGGCGGGCUCAGGCGGGACAGAAACCCGCCGUAGAGGGCAAGGCCAAAAGCCCGCCUGACUGGAUCCCUAAACGCGUGGGAUCCAGGGGUGAAAGCCGGGCCUAGCGAACACUCGCGCCCUCUCGAUGAGGGCCGGGUACGACAAAAAAGUUACCCCAGGGGUAACGGAGCUGUGGCGGGCGAGAGUCCCCAUCGGCCCCGCCGCUUGCUUCCCCGACGUCGGCACUGCCCAUCCUGGGGGUGCAGCAGCCUCCAAGGGUGGGGAUGUUCGCCCAUUAAAGGGGAACGUGAGCUGGGUUCAGAACGUCGCGAGCCAGUUCGGUUUCUCCCUGCUGGGGCUGCAAGGCCGCCUGAGGGGAAGGGACCCUCAGUACGAAAGGAACAGGGUGCCGGGGCCUCUGGUGUACCGGUCGUCCGCAAGGGCGGCGCCGGGUAGCCACGCCCCAGGCCGAUAAGGGCUGAAAGCAUCUAAGCCCGAAGCGGCCCCCGAAAAUAGGCGGCCUCGCCCCUCGUGGGGUUAGGGCGCGGGUAGAAGACCCGUUUGAUGGGGGGGUGGUGUAAGGCAGGAGGGGCUUUGCCCCGGACUGCCUCAGCCUACCCCUCCCAAAGCCCGAGCGCGACCGACC